rnacentral:rRNA from 1 species
UACGUAGGGUGCAAGCGUUGUCCGGAAUUAUUGGGCGUAAAGAGCUCGUAGGCGGUUUGUCGCGUCUGCUGUGAAAACUCGGGGCUUAACCCCGGGCCUGCAGUGGGUACGGGCAGACUAGAGUGCGGUAGGGGAGACUGGAAUUCCUGGUGUAGCGGUGAAAUGCGCAGAUAUCAGGAGGAACACCGGUGGCGAAGGCGGCAUCCUGGACCAACACUGACGCUGAGGAGCGAAAGCCAGGGGAGCAAACGGG